AGCGAACGCUGGCGGCAGGCCUAACACAUGCAAGUCGAACGAACCUUUCGGGGUUAGUGGCGGACGGGUGAGUAACACGUGGGAACGUGCCUUUAGGUUCGGAAUAACUCAGGGAAACUUGUGCUAAUACCGAAUGUGCCCUUCGGGAGAAAGAUUUAUCGCCUUUAGAGCGGCCCGCGUCUGAUUAGCUAGUUGGUUGAGGUAAUGGCUCACCAAGGCGACGAUCAGUAGCUGGUCUGAGAGGAUGAUCAGCCACAUUGGGACUGAGACACGGCCCAAACUCCUACGGGAGGCAGCAGUGGGGAAUCUUGCGCAAUGGGCGAAAGCCUGACGCAGCCAUGCCGCGUGAAUGAUGAAGGUCUUAGGAUUGUAAAAUUCUUUCACCGGGGACGAUAAUGACGGUACCCGGAGAAGAAGCCCCGGCUAACUUCGUG
rnacentral:rRNA from 1 species